GCAGUCGAGCGGGGGAAGGUAGCUUGCUACCGGACCUAGCGGCGGACGGGUGAGUAAUGCUUAGGAAUCUGCCUAUUAGUGGGGGACAACAUCUCGAAAGGGAUGCUAAUACCGCAUACGUCCUACGGGAGAAAGCAGGGGAUCUUCGGACCUUGCGCUAAUAGAUGAGCCUAAGUCGGAUUAGCUAGUUGGUGGGGUAAAGGCCUACCAAGGCGACGAUCUGUAGCGGGUCUGAGAGGAUGAUCCGCCACACUGGGACUGAGACACGGCCCAGACUCCUACGGGAGGCAGCAGUGGGGAAUAUUGGACAAUGGGGGGAACCCUGAUCCAGCCAUGCCGCGUGUGUGAAGAAGGCCUUAUGGUUGUAAAGCACUUUAAGCGAGGAGGAGGCUACUUUAGUUAAUACCUAGAGAUAGUGGACGUUACUCGCAGAAUAAGCACCGGCUAACUCUGUGCCAGCAGCCGCGGUAAUACAGAGGGUGCGAGCGUUAAUCGGAUUUACUGGGCGUAAAGCGUGCGUAGGCGGCUUAUUAAGUCGGAUGUGAAAUCCCCGAGCUUAACUUGGGAAUUGCAUUCGAUACUGGUGAGCUAGAGUAUGGGAGAGGAUG
rnacentral:rRNA from 1 species